CACGUAGGGGGCGAGCGUUGUCCGGAUUUAUUGGGCGUAAAGAGCUCGUAGGCGGCUUGUCGCGUCGACUGUGAAAACUCGGGGCUCAACUCCGAGCUUGCAGUCGAUACGGGCAGGCUAGAGUUCGGUAGGGGGAGACUGGAAUUCCUGGUGUAGCGGUGAAAUGCGCAGAUAUCAGGAGGAACACCAACGGCGAAAGCAGCUCUCUGGGACGGUACUGACGCUGAGACGCGAAAGCGUGGGGAGCGAACAGG
rnacentral:rRNA from 1 species